rnacentral:lncRNA from 1 species
CAUUCCUCCCUUUUCCCGUUUUCUUCUUUUACAACGUCUUCUCUCUUCACACGAACGGAGCAAAUCAACGGAAUAACUGGCUAUAUAGUCCGACGCCUUCUCUCUUUUAAGGUAUGUUUAUAUAUCUAUAUUUUAAGAUUUCUCAAACCCCAUACACCUACUUGAGUUGUAUUUUUGGAUUUAUAUUCUAACAAUUUGAUGGUUAUUGUGUCGUAUUGUGAUAGGUAAUGAGUGGAACCUUUAAGAUUAUAGCCACAGUUCAUCGAAAAGACAUUACAAAAAUAAGAUAAAAAUUCUUUCAAUAGUUUUAAAAAAGCAUACAAGUUUGUUUUCUUGUCUUGUUGCUUUGAAUUUUUCCCUCUUGUUAUAUGCUAAAAAUUAUUUUAUACAUUUUCUCUCUUUGAACGUUCUUCUAGCAUUUUUACAAGUCAAACUUGCAUCUUAGUAUUAACGUUUCUUUUGGUUCCCUCAUUCUUUUGUACUAAUUAUUGUUUCUUUUGAAUUUACAUGGUGCAUUUUAAUCUAUUGGAUGCAAGAAGAUCAAGGAUUCAUCCUUGAUGCAAAGAGUGAAAUUACUUCAUCAUUGGUUACAGAAGAUCAUCUGGUGGCAACAUCUUCAGUCCCCAGAUCAAAUACUUCGUUAAAUAACCUACUCUACUUUAGAUAGGCAGU